CAAGUGAGUCGGGCUCCUCCGGUGGGGUUAACUCCUUCCCCCCCUGCCUGCGAGUCAGCCUGGCUGCCGCGCGUCACGUGCCCGCCGCCUGAGGCAGCGACCGGAGCGAGGGGAGGGGAAAAAAUAGAAAGAGGAGGAAAAAAAAAAAAGAAAGAAAGAAAAAAAAAGAAAAAGCGCCUCAUUCCUUCCUCCACCGCCAUACUGUAUUUUGUAGUAACUCAUUUUUAUUCCUCCCUUUUACUCCCGCUCGUGGAAGGUUUUCCUGGAGAAUGAAGUGCGGUUUGGUUUCCUUGUCAACGGAAGAUGAAGUGAACAACUGAGCAUCUCCCCAGUGCAGCUAAAGGUAUUCCCGCAGUAAAAGGAAGAUGAAACUAAAUCCGUGUCUGCCGCCUGAUCGCGUGGAUGCUUGCAAAAUAUUGCACUGAUUGAGCUCAGACUUGCUGGACCUUCCCUCCUGCUCUGGACCUCUCCCCUGGCGUCGACACAACUCAGAAGGAUGAAAGAAAAAGAAGCAAUAGGAGAGGGAUGGAAGAGGGGAGAGGAGUAAAAGGAGGAGGAGGGCAGCAAUUGAAAUGGAGAAAAAUUCAGCAGCGUUUCAGUCUAUUCCCACCACAAAUGCCUCCUGCCUAAACAAAAUACCAGUGGAGCCAGAACUUGAAAUCAUGGAUUUUUGAAAAGGGGUAUUUCCUGGGUGAAGGUUUACAUUUGUCCGGUAACCCCUCAGUACCAGUCUGCCUACUGGAACAUGGAGCCAGCCCACAAACAACUCACAGUAGCAUUUUUGUAAGAAUUUUAUACUGGAAGUACUCACAAGUCCUGCUGUUAUAUUUGAAAGAAAACCUAAACUUGGUUGUGACUGAAGUUGGGAUUGUUGAAAUCCAGCCUAAUGGAUGUUGGUGGAACAGGUCCAGAGCAGCGUGGUGAGGUCUGAAAACCUAAAGGAAUCCUUUGUACCUUAAUAUAGAUUUUUUUAAUAGUGACAUGUAAAAAUUCCCUGAAAUUUCUGUUGGUGAAUUGAUAAAUGCUAUUUACACUUGGGUAAACUUGCUCUUUUUAUAGUGGUUUAAGAGUUACACUGUAAGAAUUGACCGUUGCCUUGUACAAGUAAUAUAAGCAGUUCUUUCGAAGUCAGUGACAUUAUUGAAGAUUGCCCAUAUUGUAAGAUGAAGAGGAAUUGAUCAACAACAACCAAUCCAACACCAUUUAAAUUUAAGGGAAAGAUUGCUACUGGCCUCAAUGAGAGCAGUAUCUGACUCUUAAUGUCUAUGCACAAGCAAGAGAACCAUACAGAAUUGUAAAAUGGUACAUUAGUGUGUAAGUUUCAAAUUCAGAGAACACUAAGGUAUGAAUCUUCAUUGGCUCCACCCUAACUCCCUAUUCAAGUGAAAUGGAAAACUUUCAUUGACCUCAGUGAAUGAGGUACUGUAUUGCCUAAAGGAAAGUUAUGUUAAUGCCUUUUUCCAGCUGGUGUGCUGCAGAUAUGGCACCUAAACCCUUAUUUGUUGGAGCUUGUCAAAAAAAAGUUUUAAAAAAUAGACCUUGGGGAAUAUUUUCUGAUUAACUACAUUUUAACAUCAAAAUAAAAGCAACUUGAUUUUCUGAAGGUCUGGUCCCUUGAGCCUUGUCUACUGAACAAUGAACACUGAAGUUGUUCAGCACCUUGAAUAUUGAAGCAAUUUCAGUGCAUUUGCAUUGAAAGCAGAACUGGUUCGGAGGUCACCACCAAGAAUAUCAUGCUGUCAAUCAUUUUCAGUAUACAUAUGUCAAAAUAGAAUCUUUGUUCUGUUACCUUCUUGUAAGGGCCCCUCACCACCUGGUGGUCAUGGUGCUUUUCUUUGUACAGUGCAACACCCACCUGGUUCAUAUGACUAAACCACAUAAGAUCAUUCCAUGGAUAAUUCUUAGGGAAAGCUAUGGGCAUUUUAUUAUUGAUUUCAGUAGGAACAAGAUCAGGCCUCAGUUUUCCAGUAUGAUAGGAUGUGUGUAAAUUAAUAUAUAUUGCACGUACAGGAUGUGUCUACACGAGACACGUUAAUGCGCAUUAGCCGUAUUUAAUGCACAUUAAAAAUGGUGACAUUUGGCUAAUCAUGCCUAAAUUUGAUACUUGUAAAUGCAGGUAUCAAAUUUAAUUGCAGUUAGUUAAGGUGCAUUAACACAUGUGUAGACUUUAGUGCCGGAUUUGCCCAACCAGUAGGGGCACGUAACAGAGCUGCAGGGACUUGGCACUCAUUUUAAUUUUAGUACCAAGUCCCUGCAUGUGUGGACACCUGCCAGAAAUCGCUUAAUGUGCAUUAGCUUAAUGCACAUUAAAUUUAGUCGCGCUUAAAUGCACAUGGAGAUAUGCCCAUACAUACGCAAUACUAGGUAUGUCUACACGUUCAUUAAUGUAUCUUAGAUACUGCGUAUUUAGUUUAGUACUUGCUUAAUAAAGGACUAACUAAAUGCGCAGUACCUAGAGUUACUGCCUGGUAGCAUCAGCACACGGUUAUUUAAUGAUGCUUACUGUGCAUUAGCCUAAUAACACUUCCCAGUAGUCUAUUAGCUCAGUUUGUGCUGUGAUGCACUGCUGCACAGUGUUAAUAGGCUAAUGCGCAGUAAGCAUCUUAUGUAGACACACCCACUGUGUAGUACUUUAAUAGAUUGCAUGAAAGAUAUUGGUGAAUCGGUAGUUUCAUAAGUGGAACAAAACAAAUUAGAUUCAAUUUAAAAAAUAUGUAUUCUUCUGCUUCUAAUGAAUGACAUGCUACAGAUUUUGUCCAGUAUGCUGGAUAUAGUGAACUGUAAUAUGUUAUUUACUAAUCAGUAAAAAGAGUAAAGGACAGUGAUUCAAGGGCACUUAGUACAGAGUAGUUUAACAUAAGAAUUAAUUUCCUAUUCAACAAGAUGCCUAAUAAGCAAACCACAUUCUGUUACCAAAGGAAAAAUUAUAUCUACUAAUGAUCAUAAUAAUUAACAGCAUAGAAUGGUAUGGAUAUGUUAAUAUGCCAUAAAAGGCAUACAUUUACAUAAAUAAAAAUAAAUGUUUUCAAUGCCUAGAAUAAAUGAAUACAUUGAGAGUCUCACAUGAUGAAUGAAAUCAGAGCAAUUUAUUAAUAUAUAUACACAUUAAUUCGUAUAUGCAUUUAUUUACACACACACACACACACACACACACACACACACACUCACUGACUGCACUUACUCAAAUCCAGGAGAACAGUUUUUUUCGCCAAUCAAUAUGAGGGGGGAAAAAGCAUCAUCUUGGACUGGAAUACUGACUCUAGGCACAUGGCAGCUCCUCUCUGGCUUUGGCCCCUGCUUUGGGGCUGGAUUCGGAGCUGAACUGCUGCCUGUCCUGGGCUGAAAUGGCUUGUUUGGUGGGGAAGUGGGCACAUGACUGGGUGGUAGCACAGGGUAGAAAGGCAGGGUAUGCGGAAGGAACUGGCAGCCUGCUUGCCCCCAGCCCCCAUUUGCCUUCCCCCCUGAAUCCUCCCACCCCCUGCUCCCCUCUGCUGCCCUCCCUGUACUUAGUGCUUCCUGUCAGCUGCCCCCUACCCACUUACUUUCUUCCCUGGCUCCAACCUUGACCUGGUUUGAUUGGGAGCCCGCUGCUGCUUCUUCCUGGCCAGGCUGGGGGCACUGCAGGUGCUUCUGACUGCCUUGAAGUUGCAAUAGAGCUGCAGCAGAAGGUAAGGGGAGGGGUGUGGUAGGCAUGAGAGGAGCAAAGAUUAGGAUGGCAGGCUGAAAAGAGGGAGCAGUGAGUGGGAGGGCAUGCACAGGCAUGGGGGACAAAGGGUGGGGAGCAGGCCCAGGCAUGGAGGGGCAGGCAGCAGGGAGGCAUGUGGUAGGGGGUACAUACUGGGGAACAGGCAGCAAGGGGAAGGUACAAGGGGGACAAAGGGCAGGGGAGCAAGGGGUAGGUACCCUCAUUCUUGCUACUCCUUUCCUUGCCACAGUAGCAGUGGGAGGGAAAUGUAAGAGGACCUUCCACUAAUUUGAUUCUAUAUGUGGACAAUUAUAACAUGUAUAAUUGUCCAUGGAUAGAGUAAUUAUUGGGGAGGGUGAAUCUUAAAUUCAAAGUUAACUUAGAUUUUGUUAAAGACAAUGUGCAUGUGCAUGUAUUAUAAUAUAAACUAUAUUUACUUGAAUCUAAGACAAAGUUUUCCCCCUCUAUCAGCAUGGUGGAAAAGCCCCUUGUAUUAUAUUUACAUACAACAUGGGGCGAGGGGGGGAACAAGUAGCUAUGACAGCUCUGACUGGCCCUGAGCCCAGGUCAGGGCCAGAGUCAGACCCACAGCAGGCUCCUGACCCCCUCCUGUCAGGGGACACCUUGGCUCCAGCUUGGUCUAGUUUCCCUCUUGGGCAUGGAGCGCAUGAAAUCUGUCCCCUGCCUGGUCACUCAACAGUAUCAACACUGGCCAAUCAGCAGUGUCAACACUGUUGUGUGGCCUGGCAAGGGCUGAGCUUCCACAUGCUGCGCUUUGGGAGGGAACAGAGCCCGAGCAGCAUCUGACAGUAGGAAGGGGCAGAGGCUGUAGGGAGUUGAGGGGGGUGGGGGCAGGUUGGUGGUGGGGUGUACAGAAAAGCUGCAGGUGGAAGAAAUGGGGGAGCAGAGGGCAAGGAGGCCACCUUACCUACCUCAGCUAUCUGCUCUCCCCCUCCCCCCCCGCUACUAUUUUCUCUGUUGUAGCAGUGGAAAGGGACAGAUUCAAGACAACCGUCCAAUAAUUAGAUUCGAUACCUGGAAAAUUAUAACAAAUUUAUACAUUUUCCAUAUCUAGAAUUUAAUUAUUGGGGAGUUGUCUUAAAUUCAGGGUUGCCUUAGAUUAAUUGCACACACACACACACACACACACACACACACACUAAGCAGUUUUACAUUUCAUGUGUAUUGUUCCUGGAAAAAAUUCAGUCAAAACAAUAUAGACAGUUCCACUGAUGAAGCUGUUGUAAAUAGGCUGUGUUACCAGUGUUAAAAUUUGAAUUGUCCUGGUCUGUGAGAAGCUCUAGAACCUCCACAGUUUGGAGAAGGGGCCUACAAUUUUGCUGGGGUUGACCUAUGUAUGUGGUGUAUACAUCUUGCCAUCUCUAGGAAAAUCUUUGAAAAAAUUUACAUGCUUAGUAGAACCUUGCUGAAGCUUCACAUUUAGAAUCGGAAGAUUUCAUUCUUAUUGAGGAAGGUUUGGAUCAGAUUGCAGCUGGUAAUGAUAAUGAGGAUAUUUAAUACUAUUACUACUAAUAAUAAUAAUUCAGUCUUCUAUAAUUCAGUCUUCUUCAAUCUUCUCUUCAGAUGAGAAAAUUGAGGCACAUAUUAGGGAAGUGAUUUGUCCAGGAUCUAAAAUAAAUGUUUUAAAGUCCCAUACUAAAUCUUACUUCAUAAAAAUGUGAGUUAACAUAGUAAGGCUUCUUUUUGGUAUGUCGUAUCAGAACAUUUUUAGGCCUCAUAAUAUUUACCUUCAUUUUAAGAGAACAAAUAUUAAUGACGGUGAACUUGUGAUAAGAGGACAGGGCAAUGUUGUGUAGGGACAAUGUUAUGUAGCAGAAGUCUGUUAGAAAAGCAGUUAGUGGGGAUGAGGAGCAGCUAUUUACUCAUUUUAGUAUCAAUCAAUUAACCAUGUGAUAGACGAGUCACAGGCCAAAAUUUUAUGUAUAGAUCAGAGAUAUAUGUCUGCUGUAGUGUAAAGGAUCAAUUCAGUAUAGCUUAAGAGAGUACCAGUGUUGUAAAAAUCAAUUUUGCAAAUUUAUUAUGAACCUCUCAAUAUUUGACAUUUUACAAAAAGUCUUCAGGAGCCAAAAGGUUAUGGGAGAAUCUCAUGGAUGUGCAACUGGAGAAUGAAUUGCAGGUUUGAAUUCUUCAUCCCAUAGGGCAAUAUUAUCUAAAUAGUCAGAAUUUUUUUAUUGGUAAAAUGUAACAAUAUAUUGCAUGAUUUUGGCUUUGUCAAUGUUACUUUGACAGGGGAUGAAUUUGCAGAUGGAGAAGAAUGCAGAAUUAAUUAUAAGUACUUGGGGAGUUAUAUAUGUGCAUUAAGGCCGGGUUAAGGAUAAAUCUUUCAUUUCUUAAUUAAAGGAAUGUUGAGCACAUAAAUAGAAGCUUGCUAACAUUUACGAGUUUGUUUCAUAUCUUUUUAAAAAUUAGUUUUUUUACAUAACAUACUGUUUCAAAAUGCAGUUCCCUAUUGGUGGACUUAUUUAUAUUACUGUAACGAUAGAUAUUUCCAUAUAUGAAAAGUCUGCCUAUUGUUGCACCAUUAUGCCAUAAAAUGUAACUAUAACAAUAUUGUUGAGAAACACUGACAGCAUGAUUUAGUGGAGGAGGAUACUUCUGGAAGCCAGGCAUAUGUGUUUUACCACUAACUUUGUUUAUUGUCUCACAGCAUGAGUUUAGGAGGAAGUCCUUUAAUGUAUCUGUGCCUCAGUUUUCCUGCAUGUUACAAUAGACAUAAUACAUAUUUUUCUGACAACCAAGAGUUUAAGUAUAUCUUUGUAUGGUACUUAGGCCUUUUAAGUGGAAAUACUUAUAUUAUAAUAAUUAAUUGUAUAAUGUAAUUUUAUAUGUA